rnacentral:rRNA from 1 species
UACGUAGGGUGCGAGCGUUAAUCGGAAUUACUGGGCGUAAAGCGUGCGCAGGCGGUGCUGUAAGACAGGCGUGAAAUCCCCGGGCUUAACCUGGGAAUGGCGCUUGUGACUGCAGUGCUGGAGUGCGGCAGAGGGGGAUGGAAUUCCGCGUGUAGCAGUGAAAUGCGUAGAUAUGCGGAGGAACACCGAUGGCGAAGGCAAUCCCCUGGGCCUGCACUGACGCUCAUGCACGAAAGCGUGGGGAGCGAACAGG